UUUAAACUUGUUGAAGUAAAAAAAAAAAAUAUACAAAAAUAUCUAUAUCAAAGUGAACAGUUAUUUAUUUUUCUUUCUAUUAAAUUCAUAGAGAAUAAAGUGUAAUAUUUAUUAUUCUGUUAAGUUGGAGGCUGAUAUAGAAAACACGAAAAAAGGAAUGGAAGUGAUGGAUAGUCAUACAAUUCAGGAGAACGAUGUCAGUGUCAGAAAUAAUGACAUGGACGUUAAUAAAAAUAAAAAUGGAAAUUAUGAUGACGAUGAUGAUGAUGAUGAUGGUGAUGAUGAUGAAAGUGUUAAAUACGAUGAAGAAAAGGAUAUUAAGGAAGAGGUUGAUGUACAAAUUGAACCGACGGACAAGGUGGUUGAUGAGACUGGUGCUACCGUUGAGGAAACUUAUGAAAUAACAACAACUAGACGUAAAACAACGACAACUAGAUACAAGAUACAAGAGACGUCAGCGUCUCAAAAAACAACAACCAUGACAACAGCAGCUAAACUUUAUGGAAAGGAUUUGAGUGAAUAUGAUGAUGUUGAUGUUGAUGAGCUUCUUUCUCAGCUGACUCCCGAGGAAAUAAAUAUAUUAGCCAAAGAAGUUGAUCCAGAUGACAGUUUUAUGCCACCAUCACAACGUUGCAGUUAUGAGUGUGAUAAAAGUCCAACGGGGCCAUUGAAUCGUAAGAAGCUUAUUGAGCAUAUCAACAAACAGGCCUUAGAGACACCAGAUAUUCCAGAACUGAAGCCAUAUGUAGCUGGUGUUGUCAGAGGGAAAAAGUGGAUACCACCAGUACAAGAUAGCUUCAAAGAAAAACAAGCUGAUGAACAAAUUGCCAUUGAUCUUGGUGAAGAAUAUGAACAGGCAUUAUCAUCAGCCACUCAAGAUGAAAUUAUUGAUUUAGCUGCUAUACUUGGUUUUCAUUCGAUGAUGAAUCAAGAUCAGUACCAUGCAUCACUUUUAAAUUCUGGUCAACCAGUUGGUCUUGGCUGGGAUGGUAUAACAAAAGCCAGUCAACCAAAAGUAUUUCCAUCUGAACCACCUAAUGAUACAGAUGUUGAUGCAACAAUAAAACAAGUACGUGAUGAUGAUCAAGAAUUAAUUGAUCUCAAUUGGAAUAACAUUAAAAAUAUUUCCGAUGAGAAGUUCAUUCAAUUAUUUGAAGCAUUAGAUGGUAACAGCCAUCUUGAAACAUUGAGUUUAACAAAUGUUGGACUAAGUGAUAGAACAGCACAAAGAUUAGCUGAUGCUGUAGAAAAAAAUUCAACCCUAAGAGUACUAAAUGUGGAAACAAAUUUUAUCAGUCCAAGUGUAGUAGUGAGGCUUAUCAAAGCACUUUUGAAGACAAAAUCAAUUGAAGAAUUUCGAUGCUCAAAUCAAAGAUCACAAGUGCUUGGUAAUAAAAUUGAGAUGGAAAUUACACAAUUGGUGGAACAAAAUCCAACUCUUCUACGAUUGGGUCUUCACUUGGAAUUCAAUGAUGCCAGACAUCGUGUUGCUGCUCAUCUGCAGCGUAACAUUGACAGGAAUGGAAGCCAGUGUAUGGGUGAUUACAACGUAUACAAAUACUUCUAGGCCUUUAUUGAAUGCUUCGUAGUCUGUCAUAGAGCUUUAGCUAAAAUCAUCACUCAUCCUGCUUUUAUUAAUUCAUUUAAUUUAUAUUUUCAUUAUUUGCCUAAAGAUAAUAUGCCAAUGGCAUUGAGUACGGCAGUCCCGGCUUGAGGUGGCUACAUCUUAAUACGACGUCUGACAUUUACAAAGAUCGUCUUUGAGUCGAAUAGAAAAAAAAGGCUUCUCGAAACUACAAUAUUGGCUGAUCUUCAAAUCGACGAUCGAAAUUAUAAACUACCAUCAUACAAAGAAGAUGUAUUUAUUAUCGAGCUGUCUUCGUUGCAUCAACAUCCAAAGUCAAAUGAAAACUUUUUUUUUUUAAUAUUUAAAAAAUAAUUAAUAUUUCAAAGUUUGGAUAUCUCUUAAUAUUUUAAUUUCAAUUUUUUUUUUUUUUUUUUUUUAUUAAUUAAUAUAAGCAAACAGAAAAAAAAAAAAGGAAAAACAAACAUUUAAAUUUUAAAUGACAAAUAUUUUAAUUAAAUUGACAUGAAUUUUAAAUUAAUUAACAAAUUUUAAAAAUAUAUUAAAAUUAUAAUGAUAAAUUAUUUAAAAUGGCACAUAUUGGACUGAAAAUAGAAAAAAAAAAAAAUGAAUGUUUUACUUGAUUAUUUAUUAAAUGUAUGAGAUUCAUUAGCUAUUGUCAAUCACGACUGCUUCUUUUUAAAUAUAUAUAUUUUAUUCUGCUCACUGACACUAUGUGUGCUGAGCGCAUCCAUCACGUCGACUGAUAUCGACCUGACAGUGAUAAGCCGUAAUCACCUAAGCACAUUUAAAAUAAAAAUAAAAAAAUGACAUACAAAUGAAUAAUCACGUUAAAUAUAGAUAUUUUUUUUUUUUAAAUUAUAUAUAUAAAAAAGAAAAAGAUAGACAAAAAAAAAAUAUGAUAUAAAAAUAUUUGGGUUUAUUCAAUGUUAAUUGUGAUGAAAUAAUUUAUUGUACGUUUUUUUUUUUUUCACAAAAUUCUUCAAUUAUGUCUAGACCCAAGUUUUAAAAAUUACGUACACAAUAAUUUACGUAAUUUCAUUUUAAUUAAAUUUCAAAAUUAAUUUGUCAUUUUCUCAAAGUUUUACACAAGAUAAAUUUAGAUUUUAUUAUUCAAUAUUUAGUAGUUGACGAGAAGCUCUUUGCUUUAAAAAAAAAAAAGGAUAAAUUUAAAAAUAGCCAACCUAUAACAUCAUCUGCCUAGUUAUUUUCUUUUGUCUACGUUUACAAUUAUAUUAAUGAUAAUAAUAUAUUUAACCCAACAAAAUAUUAUAAUUAAUGUCGAAUUAAUAAAUUUUAAUUAUUAUAUAUGUGGUACGAAGAUAAAUCUGUACAUAUUGUCUUUAACUUGUCGAUUUGAAUGAGUAUAAAAAUAUGAAAAAAAAAAGAAAAAUAUUAUUUUAGUGGCAUCAAACGUAUUGUUUUAAACACGAGAAUAAUAAAAAAUACAUGAAAAAACAAAAAAAAAAAAAACUAUGAAUAAAUUUAAAAAUAAACAGUGUGAAAGUUGUGUGCAAAGAGUGAGUGGAAAUUCGGUUGUCAGAUUUAUAAGCAAAAAUUCGAAUGUAUGCAUGUGUGCAUUUUAGUAAUGAAAAAGAAAAAAAAAAAAAAAGUACAAUCCUCACGAGACAGCAGUGAAUAUUGAUUUUGAAAUAAUUUUUUUUUUUUCACCAAGAACAUGAUGCCUUAUUGGAUACUUUUUUUUUUCUUUUUUUUUUUUACUUGUAUGGGCUGAUUAUAUUAAAAAUAAAAAAACCGAAGAGUAAAGGAUGAUAGGACCGUAGAGAUUGCGUGUGUGAAAAAGACAAAAAUAUGAAAAAAAAUAAUGCUUGAAAG
rnacentral:misc_RNA from 1 species